rnacentral:rRNA from 1 species
AGAUACGUAGGUGGCAGCGUUAUCGCAUUACCGGCGUAAGCGCGUGCAGACGGUUCGUAAGUCGACGUGAAGCUCCUGGCCUAACUGGGAGAGGCGUUCGAUACUGCGAGACUUGAGGUCGGGAGAGGGACGUGGAAUUCCCGGUGUAGUGGGUGGAAUGCGUAGAUAUCGGGAGGAACACCAGUGGCGAAGGCGGCGUCCUGGCCCGUACCUGACGCUAAGACGCGAAAGCGUGGGUAGCGAACGGGAUUAGAUACCCCGGUAGUCCACGCCGUAAACGGUGGAUACUAGGUGUUGGUGGCUAUCGUCAUCAGUGCCGUAGCUAACGCGUUAAGUAUCCCGCCUGGGGACUACGGCCGCAAGGCUAAAACUCAAAGGAAUUGACGGGGGCCCGCACAAGCAGCGGAGCGUGUGGUUUAAUUCGAGGCAACACGAAGAACCUUACCUGGGUUUGACAUGUACGUGGUAGUGAAGCGAAAGCGGAACGAUCCUUCGGGAAGCGUACACAGGUGCUGCAUGGCUGUCGUCAGCUCGUGCCGUGAGGUGUUCGGUUAAGUCCGGUAACGAGCGCAACCCUUGCUGUUAGUUACAUGUGUCUAACAGGACUGCCGGUUUAAUACCGGAGGAAGGUGGGGAUGACGUCAAGUCAGCAUGGCCUUUAUGUCCAGGGCUACACACACGCUACAAUGGCCGGUACAAUGGGUUGCCAAGCCGCGAGGCGGAGCUAAUCCUCCAAAGCCGGUCUCAGUUCGGAUUGCAGGCUGCAACUCGCCUGCAUGAAGGUGGAGUUGCUAGUAACCGCAGGUCAGCCACACUGCGGUGAAUACGUUCCCGGGCCUUGUACACACCGCCCGUCACGUCAUGGGAGCUGGUAACACCUGAAGCCGUUGGGCUAACCGUAAGGAGGCAGACGUCGAAGGUGGGACUGGUGACUGGGACGAAGUCGUA